UUUCCGUAGGUGAACCUGCGGAAGGAUCAUUAAAGUUAUAGUCCCCCGGCCCCUCCGGGCUGGGGUCUUCUAUACCACCCUUUGUUUAUUACACCUUUGUUGCUUUGGCAGGCCUGCCCUCGGGCUGCUGGCUCCGGCCGGCUCGUGCCUGCCAGAGGACCUAAGCUCUGUUUGUAUAUGAAGUCUGAGUACUAUAUAAUAGUUAAAACUUUCAACAACGGAUCUCUUGGUUCUG
rnacentral:misc_RNA from 1 species